rnacentral:rRNA from 1 species
AACGAACGCUGGCGGCGUGCCUGAUACAUGCAAGUCGAGCGGACCGACGGGAGCUUGCUCCCUUAGGUCAGCGGCGGACGGGUGAGUAACACGUGGGUAACCUGUCUGUAAGACUGGGAUAACUCCGGGAAACCGAGGCUAAUACCGGAUGCUUGAUUGAACCGCAUGGUUCCAAUCAUAAAUGGUGGCUUUCAGCUACCACUUACAGAUGGACCCGCGGCGCAUAAGCUAGUUGGUGAGGUAACGGCUCACCAAGGCGACGAUGCGUAGCCGACCUGAGAGGGUGAUCGGCCACACUGGGACUGAGACACGGCCCAGACUCCUACGCGAGGCAGCAGUAGGGAAUCUUCCGCAGUGGACGAAAGUCUGACGGAGCAACGCCGCGUGAGUGAUGAAGGUUUUCGGAUCGUAAAACUCUGUUGUUAGAGAAGAACAAGUACCGUUCGAAUAGGGCGGCACCUUGACGGUACCUAACCAGAAAGCCACGGCUAACUACGUGCCGGCAGCCGCGGUAAUACGUAGGUGGCAAGCGUUGUCCGGAAUUAUUGGGCGUAGAGGGCUCGCAGGCGGUCUCUUAAGUCUGAUGUGAAAGCCGCCGGCUCAACCGGGGAGGGUCAUUGGAAACUGAGGAACUUGAGUGCAGAAGAGGAGAGUGGAAUUCCACGUGUAGCGGUGGAAUGCGUAGAGAUGUGGAGGAACACCAGUGGCGAAGGCGACUCUCUGGUCUGUAACUGACGCUGAGGAGCGAAAGCGUGCGGAGCGAACAUGAUUAGAUACCCUGGUAGUCCACGCCGUAAACGAUGAGUGCUAAGUGUUAGGGGGUAUCCGCCCCUUAGUGCUGCAGCUAACGCAUUAAGCAC